CCCGUAGAUUGAACGCUGGCGGCAGGCCUAACACAUGCAAGUCGAGCGGUAGAGAGAAGCUUGCUUCUCUUGAGAGCGGCGGACGGGUGAGUAAUGCCUAGGAAUCUGCCUGGUAGUGGGGGAUAACGUUCGGAAACGGACGCUAAUACCGCAUACGUCCUACGGGAGAAAGCAGGGGACCUUCGGGCCUUGCGCUAUCAGAUGAGCCUAGGUCGGAUUAGCUAGUUGGUGAGGUAAUGGCUCACCAAGGCGACGAUCCGUAACUGGUCUGAGAGGAUGAUCAGUCACACUGGAACUGAGACACGGUCCAGACUCCUACGGGAGGCAGCAGUGGGGAAUAUUGGACAAUGGGCGAAAGCCUGAUCCAGCCAUGCCGCGUGUGUGAAGAAGGUCUUCGGAUUGUAAAGCACUUUAAGUUGGGAGGAAGGGUUGUAGAUUAAUACUCUGCAAUUUUGACGUUACCGACAGAAUAAGCACCGGCUAACUCUGUGCCAGCAGCCGCGGUAAUACAGAGGGUGCAAGCGUUAAUCGGAAUUACUGGGCGUAAAGCGCGCGUAGGUGGUUUGUUAAGUUGGAUGUGAAAUCCCCGGGCUCAACCUGGGAACUGCAUUCAAAACUGACUGACUAGAGUAUGGUAGAGGGUGGUGGAAUUUCCUGUGUAGCGGUGAAAUGCGUAGAUAUAGGAAGGAACACCAGUGGCGAAGGCGACCACCUGGACUAAUACUGACACUGAGGUGCGAAAGCGUGGGGAGCAAACAGGAUUAGAUACCCUGGUAGUCCACGCCGUAAACGAUGUCAACUAGCCGUUGGAAGCCUUGAGCUUUUAGUGGCGCAGCUAACGCAUUAAGUGACCG
rnacentral:rRNA from 1 species